rnacentral:rRNA from 1 species
UACGUAGGGGGCAAGCGUUGUCCGGAUUUAUUGGGCGUAAAGAGCGUGUAGGCGGCUUUGCAGGUCCGCUGUGAAAACUCGAGGCUCAACCUCGAGCUGUCGGUGGAAACCGUAAAGCUAGAGUCCGGAAGAGGAGAGUGGAAUUCCCGGUGUAGCGGUGAAAUGCGCAGAUAUCAGGAGGAACACCGAUGGCGAAGGCAGUGGGCUGGGCCGGCACUGACGCUGAGACGCGAAAGCGUGGGGAGCGAACAGG